AGCUGCAUCACGGGUCAAAAGGCCAGCUGCCAGGUUGGAACAGACCCGAAGGCUUCUGGAUUGGAAGAUGAAAUCGAAGACAACUUAUUUUGCCUCCUUUUCUCAGUCAACAUAAAUGGUAUCAGAACAGCGGGGGAUCUGAAGCGAUGUACCAUUCUGAUUCUGGGACUGCCGUUGGAUUUGAACAUGGUACCUGCCUAAGCAGGCGGUUCGGGGUUCUGCCGGAUCUUAUCGUCGCCUGGGAUGACAGCUUCAAGGAGAUUCAUGGAAAGGACUUUUGACACAUACAGGUUUCUGAUAACCUUAAGAUCACAAAACUGAACUGGAUAAGAAUUUCUGCAGCUACUGGGAAGUCUGGAUUCAAAAAAAACCAAGAA